ACUCCUAUUAGGCAGCAGUGAGGAAUAUUGGACAAUGGGCGAAAGCCUGAUCCAGCCAUGCCGCGUGUGUGAAGAAGGUCUUCGGAUUGUAAAGCACUUUAAGUUGGGAGGAAGGGUUGUAGAUUAAUACUCUGCAAUUUUGACGUUACCGACAGAAUAAGCACCGGCUAACUCUGUGCCAGCAGCCGCGGUAAU
rnacentral:rRNA from 1 species